AACAUAUCAGGAGGUACUUUCUUAACAUUUUCUUGUAUCUCUUCCAUAUUUCAUAGAGGAAUUCUCCAUCUUUUUGUGUGAAAGUGUGGAUAUCAUGUCUCAUCUU